GCCUUGGUAGCUCAGUUGGUAGAGCACCUGACUGAAAAUCAGGUUGUCGGUGGUUCAAUUCCGCCCCAAGGCACCA
rnacentral:tRNA from 1 species